GUUAGGAAUAUUGGACAAUGGGCGCAAGCCUGAUCCAGCCAUGCCGCGUGAGUGAUGAAGGCCUUCGGGUUGUAAAGCUCUUUAGCCGAUGAUUAUAAUGACUGUAGUCGGAAAAUAAGCCCCGGCUAACUUCGUGCCAGCAGCCGCGGUAAUACGAAGGGGGCGAGCGUUAUUCGGAAUCACUGGGCGUAAAGCGUGCGUAGGCGGCUUUGCAAGUUGGGAGUGAAAGCCCAGGGCUCAACCCUGGAAUUGCUCUCAAAACUGCAAGGCUCGAAUGCGGGAGAGGAUAGCGGAAUUGUCAGUGUAGCAGUGAAAUGCGUAGAUAUUGACAGGAACACCAGUGGCGUAAGCGGCUAUCUGGACCGAUAUUGACGCUGAGGCACGAAAGCGUGGGGAUCAAACAGGAUUAGAAACCCGAGUAGUCC
rnacentral:rRNA from 1 species